UGACCUCAGAUCAGAUGUGGUGACCUGCCAAAUUUAAGCAUUAUUACUAAGCAGAGGAAAAUAAACUAACCAGGAUUCCCUCAGUAAUGGCAAGUGAAGAAGGAAGAGUCCAGCACUAAAUCCCUGCCCGGGUGAUGGGUGCAGGGAAAUGUGGCAUAUGGAUGUCCAUCUCCAAGGUGCUGCCCAGGGAUCCCAGGUCCUUGUGAUUGAGGCUCAGCCCAGAGACUGUGUGAGGCUUGUGGCAUCCCCCGGAGCAUCAGGAUCAGGUCUUCCCAGAGUUGGGUUGUUUGUGAAUGCAGCCCAAAGCAGGUGGUAAACUCCACCUAAGGCUAAACACUGGCACAACACUGAUAGCGGCCAAGUACAGUAAGGGAAAGUUGAAAAGAACUUUAAAGAGAGAGUUCAAGAGGGCAUGAAACCAUUCAGCUGUAAAUGGGUGUGGUCUGUGCAGUCUGCCCAGAGGAUUAAACUCUCCAUCCGCGUCGACUACCUGGGUGAGGCAGAUCCCCCUUCGGGGGUGGGGGGAUCUGUCCCCGGGCACACCAACCACCGUUGGGCACACUUCCUCCAUGGUGGUGCAUCACAACUGGCUCCGGGUCGGCCGGGAAGACAGUGUGGAAGGUGGCUCCUCUCCCUGCAGGGGUGUGUUGCAGCACAUGGUAUCAGCCUUCACUGUACUCUGGGGUCAUAGGAGACGACUGCCACCGCACCCUCCCUCAUCUUUGUGGCAGUAGAGGGGCCCCCGGCUCCUGGCCGGACUGUCGACUGGGCUGGACUGUACUUAGUGCGGCCCAACUGUGUCCUGCCUCUGGGCCAGCGGGCUCACCUCGGGUACCUGGGGUCCACGGUGACAUCGGUAAUCCACCCGUAAUGUCUUGAAACAUGGACCAAGGAGUCUAACAGGUGCGUGAGACCGAGGGUGGGCAGGAGACCCCACGGUGCAAUGAAAGUGAGAACCGGUGUAUGCUGGCUGAGGCAGGAUCCCCCUGCCCCGCAUGGAGGGGGUGCACCACCUGCCUGUCUCACCCAUCCUGUCGGGGAGGUGGAGCAUGAGUGCACCUGGUGGGACCCGAAAGGUGGUGAACUAUGCCUGGGCAGGGCGAAGCCUAAGGAAACUCUGGUGGCAGUCCAUAGCGGUCCUGACAUGCAAAUUGGUUGUCCAACCUGGGUAUAGGGGUGAAAGACUAAUCAAACCAUCUAGUAGCUGGUUCCCUCCAAAGUUUCCCUAAGGAUAGCUGGCCCUUGGCAGAUGCAGUUUUAUCUGGUAAAGUGAAUGAUUAGAGGUCUUGGGGCCAAAACAAUCUCAACCUAUUCUCAAACUUUAAAUGGGUAAGAAGCCCGAAUCACUGGCUUGGAGCUAGGCAUGACAUGUGAGCACCAGUGGAUCACUUUUGGUAAGAAGAAGUGGUGCUGCAGAAUGAACUGAACACUGGGUUAAGGUGCCUGAUGCCGAUGCUCAUCAGACCCCAGAAAAGGUGUUGGUUGAUAUAGACAGCAGGACAGUGGCCAUGGAAGUCAGAAUCUGCUAAGGAGUGUGCAACAACUCACCUGGUGAAUCAACUAGCCCUGAAAAUGGAUGGUGCUUGAGAGCAGGGCCCAUAUCCAGCCAUUGCUGGCACUGAGAGCUAAAAGGGCUACCCCAGGAUGAGUAAGAGGGCCAACGCAGUGGUACUGAAGCCCAGGGUGAGGGUCUGGGUGGAGCCACUGCUGGUGCAGAUCUUGGUAGUAGUAGCAAAUAUUCAAAUGAGUGCUUUGAAGGCUGAAGUGGAGAAGGAUUCCAUGUGAACAGCAGUUGAACAUGGGUCAAUUGGUCCUGAGAAAUAGGCAAGUGUCAUUCUGAAGGGAAAGGUGAUGGCCUCCAUCUCCCUCAGCUGAUCGUAAGGGAGUCAGGUUCAGAUCCCCAAAACAGGAGUGGUAGAAAUAGGUGCCUUACGCCAUCCAGUGUAUUAACGCAUACAAUCCCACGGAAGCUGGCAGGGGCCCCUGGGAGAGUUCUCUUUUUUUUGUAAAGGGCAGGGUACCCUGGAAUGGGUUUGCACCAAGAGAGGGGCCCACGCUCUGGAAAGUGUCGCAGUUCCGGCAGCAUCAGGUAAGCUCUCACUGGCCCUUGAAAAUGCGGGGGAGAGGGUGUAAGUCUCCACCAGGCCAUACCCAUAUCUUCAUCAGGACUCCAAUGUGGCCAGCCACUGGCAUGUUAGAGCAAUAUAGGUAAGGGAAGUCAGCAAGCCAGAUGCAUAACUUCAGGAUAAGGAUUGGCUCUAAGGGCUGGGUCGGUCGGACUUGGGUGUGAAAUAGUGCUGGGCAUGCACAAUGGCUGAAAGAGGCAUCACCCCCUCACUGUGCUCUCCCCUCCUGGAGGGACAGCAAGUGGGGACUCUGGAUGUGCACUGGGCCUUUCCUGUGGAUUGUCCCAGCUGUGGAGGGCACCGGUCCUGACCAGUGUCCCACAUUGUCUGGCAGGUAGCAGCUGACUUAGAACUGGUGCAGACCGGGGGAAUCCAACUGUUUCAUUAAAACAAAGCAUCAUGAACGCAUGAGGUGGGUGUUGACAUGAUUUGAUUUCUGCCCAGUGCUCAGAAUGUCAAAGUGAAGAAAUUCAAUGAAGCGCAGGUAAACUGCUGGAGUAACUAUGACUCUCUUAAGGUAGCCAAAUGCCUCGUCAUCUAAUUAGUGAUGUGCAUGAAUCAAUGAAUGAGAUUCCCACUGUCCCUAACUACUAUUUAGCAAAACCACACCCAAGGGAACAGGCUUGGCAGAAUCAGUGAGGAAAGAAGACCCUGUUGAGUUUGAUUCUAGUCUGGCACUGUGAAGAGACAUGAGAUGUGUAGAAUAAGUGAGAGGUCUUGGCUGCCAGUGAAAUGCCACUACUCUUAUCAUUUUUUUCACUUAUCCGGUGAGGCAGGGAGAUGAGCCCCACCAGGGCACUUGCUACUGGCUUCAAGCGCCUGGACUAUCUGGAUGCAACCCACUCUGGGGACAGUGUCAAAUGAGGAGUUUGACUGGGGUGGUACACCUGUCAAAGAGUAAUGCAGGUCCUUAGGUGAGCACAGGGAGGACAGAGAACUCCCAUGGAGCAGAAGGGCAAAAGCUCACUUGAUCUUGAUUUUCAGUAUGAAUACAGUCCUCAUGAUCCUUUUGGCUUUUUGGGUUUUUAGCAGGAGGUGCCAGAAAAGUUACUACAGGGAUAACUGGAUUGUGGUGGCCAUGCAUUCAUAGCAAUGUCACUUUUAGAUACUUUGUUGUUGGCUCUUCCUAUCAUUGUGAAGCAGAAUUCAAGAAGCAUUGGAUUGUUCACCCACUAAUAGAUAAUGUGAGCUGGGUUUAGACUGUCAUGAGAGAGGAUAGUUUUACCCUACUGAUGAUGUGUUGUUGUGAUAGUAAUCCUGCUCAGUACGAGAGGAAUUACAAGUUCAGACAUUUGGUGUAUAUGCUUGGCUGAGGAGCCAAUGGUGCGAAGCUACCAUCUGUGGGAUUAUGACUGAACACCUCUAAGUCAGAAUCCCCCCUAAAUGUAACAAUACCACAGCACUGCGGAUCUCUGGUUGGCCAGGGAAUAGUCAGCCGCAAGGCCGGCAAGGAGCACUGCUCAUCACUGGGUCAGAGCAUGGAUGGAAGGGGGUCUCAUCUCUCCAGAAGUGCACAGCAUGUUUGUAGGGAACUGGGUGCUAAAUUAUUCAUAGACAACCUGAUUCUGUGUCAGAGUUUCAUACGUAGAAAAGCAGCAAAAAGCUGUGAUCUAUUGAAAGUCAGCCCUCGAGCUAAGCUUUUGU